CACGUAGGGUGCGAGCGUUGUCCGGAAUUAUUGGGCGUAAAGAGCUCGUAGGCGGUGUGUCACGUCGGCCGUGAAAACCUGCAGCUUAACUGUGGGCGUGCGGUCGAUACGGGCAUCACUGGAGUUCGGCAGGGGAGUCUGGAAUUCCUGGUGUAGCGGUGAAAUGCGCAGAUAUCAGGAGGAACACCGGUGGCGAAGGCGGGUCUCUGGGCCGAUACUGACGCUGAGGAGCGAAAGCGUGGGGAGCGAACAGG
rnacentral:rRNA from 1 species